rnacentral:rRNA from 1 species
AAGUCCCGCAACGAGCGCAACCCUUAUCCUUUGUUGCCAGCGAUUAGGUCGGGAACUCAAAGGAGACUGCCAGUGAUAAACUGGAGGAAGGUGGGGAUGACGUCAAGUCAUCAUGGCCCUUACGACCAGGGCUACACACGUGCUACAAUGGCGCAUACAAAGAGAAGCGACCUCGCGAGAGCAAGCGGACCUCAUAAAGUGCGUCGUAGUCCGGAUUGGAGUCUGCAACUCGACUCCAUGAAGUCGGAAUCGCUAGUAAUCGUGGAUCAGAAUGCCACGGUGAAUACGUUCCCGGGCCUUGUACACACCGCCCGUCACACCAUGGGAGUGGGUUGCAAAAGAAGUAGGUAGCUUAACCUUCGGGAGGGCGCUUACCACUUUGUGAUUCAUGACUGGGGUGAAGUCGUAACAAGGUAACCGUAGGGGAACCUGCGGUUGGAUCACCUCCUUACCUUAAAGAAGC